AAUUUGGUGUGGAUGCGCUUUCUGAGGUAGAGGCAUGGUAGAGGUUCAGGAAUAACGAAACUGCAUGGGCUCGGGAGGCUGUUGCAGCUCGGCGGUGGACGCACAGUGCCACGAGCUGUGUAUUGUUCCCGCCGGUGAACAUGUAGCGACCAUGACCGUGCGCGACGCAAUUUCGUCGCGGCAUGGGGACUGUCCCAGAUACUGCGCGCCGUUCGAGAUCGGCCACUUCACUAUGCAAGCAGAAGGUGAACAGUACCAGUACGUCCAUGGUGCCGUCGCAAAGAGGUUCCUGCGUGCGCGAAUCCCGUGGCGUCCCAUGCUGAAUCUGAACACCGGAUACGAGAAGGCCGUGCGCAUAAACUGGGAGAGCGUGGCACGUAGAGAAACUCUACUCCGCUGGGUUAUUCUCAACAAAGACAAGGUGGGGAUAUGUUCAUCGGAGGAGCAGGCGCCACCGUUGGAAACGAAGAGCAUAUGCACGGAUUUUAUCUGUCGACGGAGCACAUUGACAAUCGUUAUGUGCACGCCGUACGAGGAGAAUAAAGGCUGGCGGCUGGUGGCAUGCAGACACAAAGGCAUCGUGUACCUCCAUGAGCAUCCUACAAUGGAGGAAGUACAUCGAUCCCUCAAAGAGAGAUCUGACUGGAAAUUAGAUCAUAUGACAUACUGGGGCAGCAAGUUCCACCGUAGCAUCACCACAACUGAGCCAGGGGUUGACCCCAAGGAAGACGAGCUACUCAGGGAAGGUGAUGGAUACAACACCGUCCUCCACUGCCAGCUUGGAUCACACUCUAUUGUGAUGGGUGGCGAAGUGAAAGCGGUCGACCCCUCAGUUGAAUGCAAGCAGGGUUCCACGGCUGGCUACGUGGAGUUUAAGACAAACCGUGUGUUAACCACGGAGUCGCAACGCCGUAAUUUCUACGAGUGCAAGUUGCGGCGCUGGUGGGCCCAAUCGCGCCUAGGAGGCGUCCCAAAGGGAUUGUGCGGGUUCCGCGACGAUAACGGCAUUGUGGUGCGCAUACAGCAGUUUGACGUGAUGAACAUGCCAGACAUGGCAAAGGGACUGUGGUCGGAGGAUGUGUGCAUGCGAUUCUGCAACCAGAUGCUUUCCUUUAUCAAAGAACACGUCGAAGGGAAUGACGGAAGAACUGUCUACCAUUUCGAGUACGUGCCGUCAUCCCGCGAGAUCGUCUGCAAGCACCUGACAAAUCCUGCAAAGCUUUACCGUCUGCCGGACUGGUUCCUGGAGGCAUUUGAAGACUGUUGAAGUGUUUGCUUCAGUUGCACCUCUCGCUCUUUAUGUGACUGUUUUCGGUAAAUGACCUCAAAGGACGAGAUCGUACGAUCAAGUUAAAUGCCUGUGUACCGGCAGAAAACAGCAUAGUCAGUGGGCCAGAUCACCGAUGUUCCCAUGGGGGAAAUGAAGAAUGCAGUCUUGAUUGCUCAUACACUGCAGAUGAUUAGACCCCAAGAAGGAGCCCUUCGCCAAUGCGCGCACACAUCGCGGCGGAACAUAUAGGGUCAGGCAGGACGCGUCGAAGCACAAGCGUGGCAAGUAGGCGUCCGAGAUGGCCAGUGGUGGUUGCGAAGGUUCGGCGGCGGAUGCACUUCACCGCAGGACAUGUCUAGCCGCCCCUGGUGAACACGCCGUGGUCAUAGCCGUGCGUGACACACUCUCGAGAGGUCGGCUGUCCGGGAUAUGAGACUGUCCAGAUUGGCCAUUUGUAUGUGCAAGGAGAAAGCCGCGAUUGUAUAGAUGGUGCCGUUCAAUAGAGGUACCUGCGUGUGCCAAUUACGUGGCAUCCAGAAUGAAAUCAAGAUGCAGUGCGCAGAAAUAAGCUAACUGUAACGCAUUAGCAACUCCGCUGGGUUAAUGUCUACAAGGACAAAGUGUUGACGCCUUCACCGUAUGAGGAGAGACCUUCGUCGGCGCGGGAAACGCAGUGGUAUUUAUGGCGUCAGUUAUUAUAUACAUAAAAGAAGUUUCAGUUUCGCCCGAAAUGUGAAGCAUCGAUUUCAAUAGCAGAUUGGUUUGACAGCUAUACGAAAUAAGGAUAAUAGCUCUAUCGGCCAUAUAAAGUUGGAAACAUUUGCUUACUAACUGAUAACAAGCAUGGUGUCAGCGCGCACAAGCAAACAUGAACACAUUACACUCAAUGAGCACCGAAAGUCGCUGUGAAAACACUGGUGUGAGGAAGCGCGGCAGCAGCAGCCAGCAAAGUGACCGUGCUGUCUAUUGCUUCAACGCAAGUGCGUCGAGAACACAGCGCGCGCAAAAGUAUGAGCUGUUUGCAGAUCCAUUUUAAGACACAGCGCGUACGACC